AGCCCUAGCCGGAGAAAAAUCGGCCAUCUUCAGUGGAUGGCACCCAGGUUCCCAUGGCAGUUCCUGGGCUCGGAGCCAGAGGACUUGGGGAGAGGAGAGGGAAGGGUAGGGAGGAUAUUGUCUUGCUUCUUGGAUACUGGCUCAGCCGCAGGAAGACAGGGCACGGGUCAGAGUUGUGAGGCCCUCGUUCCAGGCCGUAGCUCCCAGAUGACAUUUCCAGACACACCCUGGGCCAGAAGGGAACCGUCUCCCUUGAAAAGAAGGAGCCAGUCCUAAUGGGACACAUCACCUCCCAACCGAGGAGCCCUUGGGCCCUGAAGAACAGUAGCGAGACCCCGGCCACACUAGCGCUGGCUCAGGUGAGUCUCAGAGCCGCACGGGACCCUAGUGUGACCCAGCACAUUCCCAGCUGUGGUGGCCACAGGCAGAGACCCCUUCUGCUUGAGGAAAGGAGAGGGAAGAGGAAAGGAGACCCCACAGAGGACGAGGACAUCAGCUACUCAGGAGGCCGAAGCAGGAGAACCGCUUGAACCCGGGAGGCAGAGGUUGCAGGGAGCCAAGGUUACACAAUUGCACUCCAGCCUGGGCGAUAGAGCAGCACUCCACCCCAACAUAAACAAACAAAGAAAACAUAAAAUAGCUAGAAGAGAGGAAUUGCCACGUGUCAAGAAAAGACAAAUAAAGUCAACAAAAUAAUCUAAAGCUCCUUGAAUUGAUUAAGUUGUUUUGUUUUUCAUUUAAAAGAUAGUUCUAUGUCUUCCCUCCAGUUUUCUCACAGUACGAAGUACAAACAAGUGACAGGACAAACACUGCAUCUAUUAUCAUUUUCUCAACGUCAUGUACGUCAGCAUUUCUUACACUAAAUAGCUAAGGUUUUGUAAGUGUAGACACGAGUUGAACUAAACUGAGUUAUAACAAUGAAUAUCUGGAUUUUAAAAAUCAACCUUUUAAACCUCCAACAAUAGCAAUAAUUUCGUAACCCUACAAAGUUACUCCACCUUGUAAAUGGAAUAACUUCUAAGAUUUCCUCAUCUACUGACUUCGAGACCUGGGGUGGAUAAUAAAUUGAGGUAAUUAGCAAGUAAUGGUUACCUGGAUAAUCUCCAAAGGAAUGAAAAUUCCUAAAGACAAAAUGCAAAGGCACACAGUUAUUUCUGACAUAUGUAUUCUUGCCUAUGCAUGAACACAAUGGCGCCACACAGCACUCACCAAUCAGGAAAUCACUGUAAUAUAAACAUUGUUUUGUGCUUUAUUAGACACAGGGUCUCACUCUGUCCCCCAGGCUAGAGUGCACCGGUGCAAUCCUAGCUCAGCCAUAUCAAUGAAUGUUUUAAAAAUUUCUGUACAUAGCCUGGCACAGUGGCUCAUGCCUGUAAUCCCAGCACUUUGGGAGGCCAAGGAGAGCGGAUCACUGGAGGUCAGGAAUUUCAAACCAGCCUGGCCAACAUGGCAAAACCCCGUCUCUACUAAAAAAUACAAAAAUUACCCUGCCAUGGUGACAGGCACCUGUAGUCCCAGCUACUCAAGAGGCUGAAGCAAGAUAAUCGCUUGAACCCAGGAGGCGGAUGUUGCAGUGAGCCGAGAUCGUGGUGCUGCACUCCAGCCUGGGGGACAAGAGCAAGACUCAUCUAAAAAAGGGGGGAAACUCCGUCUCAAAAAAAAAGUGGGAGGGAAUGUUUUCUGUAUAAUGGAGUGCAGAGGCCUGGGUGCAUGGGAGGAAGGGGUCUUUAGGUAACUAACAUAUUUUCAACCUCAAGUAUUCUAUCUAGAGCCAGAGAUUUUUUUUCUCACCCUACUAGGAGCUCACAGCACUGUGCAUCUGUUAACAGAGGUGCUUUCAUGCUGCGCCUUGGCAUGGUUCUUUCAUAACUGCAGUCAAUUAUAAGAGAACAAGAAAUCAAACAGAACAGAUAGCAAAGGCUCUUCCUUUGUGGAGGAGCUAAAAUUCCCACUGCUUAUCACGUUACUUUCUCCUGUGUGUUGUUAUCAAAUAUUGGGACUCUGGUUACAUUGUCAAGGCCAUGGGCCUUUCUUGUUCUAGGGCAGCUGUGCUCCUCUCUUAAGCAACUGACCCGUCUCCCCUGGCAACUCUCUUUGGUACUGGCCUUCUCCCAGAUCAGACCUCAAAUUAGUAACAACACUAACAAGGGUGUUUGGACCACCAUGUUUGGUGGCCGGCCGCUUGGGCAUCCGGGUUUGCUGCUUUGCCUGGCUUGGGUACCCCACUGUAUGGUGCACGAGAAUAAAGGCGGAUGCCAAGAAGAAUGAGGCAUGAUCAGAAUGCCUCGUAGUUAUUAAAAGUGAUUCAAUGGGAUUGCAAAAUCCACCCUGUAGGCUGAAAGCAGUGGCGCACUCCUGUAAUCCCAGUACUUUGGAAGGCCAAGGCAGGAAAGUCGCUUGAAGCUGGGAGUUGGAGACCAGCAUGGGCUAUAUAGCAAGACCCUGUCUCUACAAAAACAAUACAAAAAUUAGCUGGGCAUAGUGGUGUGUGCCUGUAGUCCCAGGUACCUCGAGAGGCUGAGGCAGGAGGAUCUCUUGAGCUGUAAUCAGGUCACUACUGCAGCCUGGGUUACAGAGCAAGACCCUGUCUCAAAAAAAAAAAGUACCCUGUAAAUGUAUUAAAAUGUCACUAAUUUCAAUGUAUUUUGGUACAAAGGAAGGAAGUACUGAUACAUGCUAAAACUUAGAUAGAUCUCAAAAACAUUAUGCUCAGUGAAAGAAGCCACAGAGUAAAAGUCACAUAUCAUAUGAUUUGCUUUAUGUGAAAUAUCCAGAAUGGAUGAAUUCAUAGAUACAGAAAAGCAGAUCGGGGUUGCCAGGGGCUAGGGGAGUAGGGGAUGGGGAGUGGCACUGUAAUGGAUAUGAGGUUUCUGCAUGGGAUGAUGAAAAGAUCCUGAAAGUAGAUAGUGGUGAUGCUGGCACAG
rnacentral:lncRNA from 1 species